CUGUUCAAACCUGGACCUCAGACCCCUCACUUUGCUCUCCUGGCUACUGUUUGGGUUCCAGGCAGUCCUUCUGUCUCAUGACUGUCCCUGCCCACUAAUUCCAGCCUACCUGGCUGCUCAGCCCUGACUCAACGGCCUUCUUUGAGCCCUCAGCUCUGGACUCAACCAAUCUGCUCCCUCACCUGAACGUGCUCUUCUCCCACCCUGUGCCCUGGGAAGAAAUCCUGGAGUUUGUCUUCAAGCUGUCUGGUUGAAGGAAGAUCCCUCUAAUCCAAAACAUCCUGCGACUUUAAUUUAAUUAUGAAGCAACAUGUUGUGCCUGUGAAGUUGGACUUCAAGAUGACUUAGCAGAAAGUCUCUGGUUCGAUCCUGGAAACAGAUGCCGUCCAAUGCGAUGAAAAGGACUGCGUCGGGCCAAACUGUCAGAGACAGGAUAAACCUUGGGGGCAGCCUUCAGCCCAGGGCAUGAUCCUGGAGACCCGGAAUCGAGUACCACGUCAGGCUCACUGCAUGGAGCCUGCUUCUCCCUCUGCCUGUGUCUCUGUGUCACUCACUGAAUAAAUAAAUAAAAUCUUAAAAAACAAACCUUGGGACAUCUACUCCAAUGCAAGCUCUGGAAUCGGACUGCAUGAGUAGGAAACCAGGCUACCUCAUUUCGAUCCCAGCCCCACUUCCUAGCUGUGGGACUUUGCAUGGGUUUCUCCAACUCUCCUUGCCAUAGUUCACUGUCUGAUAUGAUAGAAUGGGGAAAAUAAUGUUACAUACCUCCUAGGGUUGUUGUGAGGGUGCAAUGAGUUGAAACAUAGCAGUAGAAUACAAUACAGUGUAAGCAUUCCAAAAAGGUUAGCCACAAUCAUGAAAUAUU